rnacentral:rRNA from 1 species
ACUCCUACGGGAGGCAGCAGUAGGGAAUUUUUCGCAAUGGACGCAAGUCUGACGAAGCAAUGCCGCGUGAGGGAUGAAGGUUUUCGGAUUGUAAACCUCUGUUAUAAGGGAAGAAAACCUGAUAUAGGAAAUGAUAUCAGCUUGACGGUACCUUAUCAGAAAGGGACGGCUAACUACGUGCCAGCAGCCGCGGUAAUACGUAGGUCCCGAGCGUUAUCCGGAAUUAUUGGGCGUAAAGAGCAUGUAGGCGGUUUAUUAAGUCUGGUGUGAAAGCUAGUGGCUCAACCACUAAAUUGCAUUGGAUACUGGUAAACUAGAAUACUGGAGGGGCAAGUGGAAUUCCAUGUGUAGCGGUGGAAUGCGUAGAUAUAUGGAGGAACACCAAUGGCGAAGGCAGCUUGCUGGACAGUAAUUGACGCUGAGAUGCGAAAGCGUGGGUAGCAAACAGGAUUAGAUACCCUGGUAGGCGUAG